rnacentral:rRNA from 1 species
GACGAACGCUGGCGGCGUGCUUAACACAUGCAAGUCGAACGGAAAGGCCCUGCUUGCAGGGUACUCGAGUGGCGAACGGGUGAGUAACACGUGGGUGAUCUGCCCUGCACAUCGGGAUAAGCCUGGGAAACUGGGUCUAAUACCGGAUAGGAGCCAUUUUUAGUGUGAUGGUUGGAAAGUUUUUUCGGUGUAGGAUGAGCUCGCGGCCUAUCAGCUUGUUGGUGGGGUAAUGGCCUACCACGGCGGCGACGGGUAGCCGGCCUGAGAGGGUGGACGGCCACAGUGGGACUGAGAUACGGCGCAGACGCCUACGGGAGGCAGCAGUGGGGAGUAUUGCACAAUGGGCGCGAGCCUGAUGCAGCGACGCCGCGUGGGGGAUGACGGCCUUCGGGUUGUGAACGCCUUUCGCUAGGGACGAAGCUUUUUGUGACGGUACCUAGAUAAGAAGCACCGGCUAACUACGUG